UACGGAGGAUCCACGCGUUAUCCGGAUUUAUUGGUUUAACGGGUGCGUAGGCGGUUUAUUUAGUCAGGGGUGAAAGCCCGGAGCUCAACUUCGGAACUGCCAUUGAUACUGAUAGACUUGAGUACAGAUGAAGUGGGCGGAAUGUGACAAGUAGCGGUGAAAUGCUUAGAUAUGUCACAGAACACCGAUAGUGAAGACAGCUUACCAAGCUUCAACUGACGCUGAGGCACGAAAGUGUGGGGAUCAAACAGG
rnacentral:rRNA from 1 species